GGGAAUUGUGCUGCUUAGACACUCAGCUCAGAGAGCGACUUGCUUCUGGUGAUGUGUUACUAUGGAACAUCGAUCUUUCUUGCUCACUUUCUGAACUGCCUCUGGAAGAAAUCAAGUGCAUCCCCACUCAGAGUACCAUCGAUGGCUGAGGGUGGCAAUAUCCCCACGUGCCACUAGGUGGGGACAACGAAGACACCACAGACGUGAACAAAAGGACGAGCUGCAAAGGACUGGAGCAGUGUUGGAGCUGUGUCCUUUCCUGAUGCCCUGCAGCAUUUUUCAGAGUAUUCUAGGAGAAGAAUUGCAGAUAACUUUCUGGAAACUACAGUGAUCAGAACAGCUGGAACAUCCUUCACCCGGCCAGCAGUGCCAUGGGCUUCAGCUGCUGCAGUUUUAUUUCAGCUCCAG
ensembl:lncRNA